rnacentral:RNase_P_RNA from 1 species
GCAGUCAGUUAUGCGGUCGCGGGGGCGGAGAGAAACCGUCAAUGAGGAAAGUCCGGGCUUCAUAGAAACAGGGUGCCGGAGAAAUUCCGGUGAAGGCGACUUUAAGGAAAGUGCAACAGAAAUAAACCGCCGCAAGGCAAGGAUGGAAAGGCGGGGUAAGAGCCCACCGCCCUUACGGUAACGCAAGGGGCAAUGUAAACCCCACCCGAAGCAAGAUUGACAAAUUAGUUCUAUGGGAGUUUCACCGAACUAAUUUACUAAAAUAUCGCUGGAGGGUAUAGGAGACUAUACUCGUAGAUAAAUGACCGCACACGACAGAACCCGGCUUACAGAUUGGCUGCUUUA